AUCGAUUCCUAAUUGGUUUAUUUCUGUAUUUCUGAAGUUAAAAGUUUUGUUUAAUUAUUAUUAUUAAAAAGAGAAAAAUAUAUUUUUAUCCAGCAAUUCCAAAGGGAAAUUUAGGAAUUUAAUUUGUGUAAUAAGUUCCUUUGUGCUCGGUUUGUCACACGAAACGAAUCAUGCGAUUAUAUUCGUCAUAACGCUUUAAAUAUGCGAUUUGUUUUAAAAUUAAAUAUUAUCGUUCACGAACGGAUCGACACACUCACACAGUAGUAGAAAUUUUUAUAAUUUUUGGGAUGGACCGGACGUUUGACAACAUUUCCGGGAAGCUAACGUGGUCACAUGAUCGAAUCUCCCGUUCCUUUCUACAUAGACCCACUAUCCUAUAUCCCGUUUCUAUCGUCCGUAACUCCGGUAGAUGACAUCAUUUGCAGAUCACGUGAUUAAUGUCACCGAACGUUUUUCUCGUUAAUAUUAUAAUCAGUUAAAAGUUAAGGAGAGAUUCCCCCUUCUUCUCCUCCUCCUCCUCUUUUCUCUCUCUCUCUCCCUCUCCCGCUUAUACACCGAGAUGUCAAAGGGCGCCAUAUUUAUUUGAUACCUGUCCUUGAUAUGAGUUCAGGGUCACGUGUUAACCCCGAGACGAAGGGAUAUCGAUAAGAGAACAAAUUAUCUGUAGAGCAUUUUUGAUGGGUUGAUAAUUAUAUUUAGUUGCCAGCUGGAGAAAAAAAAAGCGAAUCCAUCUUAAGAAAAUUUUUCUCAAGUAUUUUUAAAUGGGUUUUUAUUUUUUAUUUUUUUUUUUAAGUAGUGUUUAUGCUAUAUCACUCGAUCGAUGAAGCUGGUGUUUUAAUGUAGCAUAUAUACACACACACACACAAUAAGUUUUCUAUUCAACUGGUAAGUGCGAUUCAAUCUUAGAAAGUCCAGCGUCAGUAGAAAGGAAUGCGGAGGUCAUACGAGGAACACCAAUGUAAGUGCAUUACGUCACUGCUAAGGACUGUGGGAAAUUGUCAGUUAGAUGUCAACAUGUGAAUGCGUUACAGGCCGGCCACAUAUCGUAUAACAAAACUAAACGAAAAAUUAUAAUAAUCUGUCAAUUUAACCGGAUCGAUUCUCCGUAAAAAUUAUUAUUAUUUGAAAACAAUCUGACCGAUUCCUAAAAACUAUUUUCGGUGCAUAUAAACAAAGAGAGAAGAAGGAUUUCGUGGAAUACAGUAUAAACACACAAACGUUUGGGAUGUCUGAUCGUCCAAAUGUCACGAAAACAAGAUAACUCGCGGUAAAAAUAGUCUAAAAUUUUUAUGAAGAGGUUCCUUUAAGGGUAAAAACAGUGGGCUAUGUCGAGAAUCGCAGAAAUGUUAAGGCAAGAAGGAGAUUUAAAAACCAAAAAAAAAAAAAAAAAGGCUAUUGGAGAAAGAGAGAGUGAGAAUUUUAAUAUAUUAUACAAGACGAGCUUUCCUUUAAUUAAUGGAGAUUCUUUAUACCGAAUUCUAUUCAUCAAGGAGAAGCUGAACUGUUUACUUAACACUGCAAUAACAAUCCACUUAGGGAAUUUCCAUAUUAGCUUAACUUCAAAUAAUU
rnacentral:lncRNA from 1 species